AUUACCCUCACUAAAGGGACUAGUCCUGCAGGUUUAAACGAAUUCGCCCUUCCGGUGAAUUAUUCGGACUGACGCAGUGCUCAGCUUCUGGACGUUGCGUCGGAAAGUUUCAUGAACCUUAUCACUUAGAGGAAGGAGAAGUCGUAACAAGGUUUCCGUAGGUGAACCUGCGGAAGGAUCAUUC
rnacentral:rRNA from 1 species